UACAGAGGUCUCAAGCGUUGUUCGGAUUCAUUGGGCGUAAAGCGCACGUAGGCGGAUCUUUAAGUCAGGGGUGAAAUCCUGGAGCUCAACUCCAGAACUGCCUUUGAUACUGGGGAUCUCGAGUCCGGAAGAGGUGAGUGGAACUCCGAGUGUAGAGGUGAAAUUCGUAGAUAUUGGGAAGAACACCAGUGGCGAAGGCGGCUAACUGGUCCGGAUCUGACGCUGAGGUGCGAAAGCGUGGGGAGCAAACAGG
rnacentral:rRNA from 1 species